GGGAAGUGCGAACGUAGAGGGUGAUAUUCCCGUACACGAAAGGGCACACAUAAUGAUGACGAGUAGGGCGAGGCACGUGAAACCUUGUCUGAAUAUGGGGGGACCAUCCUCCAAGGCUAAAUACUCCUGACUGACCGAUAGUGAACCAGUACCGUGAGGGAAAGGCGAAAAGAACCCCUGUGAGGGGAGUGAAAUAGAUCCUGAAACCGCAUGCAUACAAGCAGUGGGAGCACCUUCGUGGUGUGACUGCGUACCUUUUGUAUAAUGGGUCAGCGACUUAUAUUCAGUAGCAAGGUUAACCGUAUAGGGGAGCCGUAGAGAAAUCGAGUCUUAAUAGGGCGUUUAGUUGCUGGGUAUAGACCCGAAACCAGGCGAUCUAUCCAUGAGCAGGUUGAAGGUUGGGUAACACUAACUGGAGGACCGAACCCACUGUCGUUGAAAAGCCAGGGGAUGACUUGUGGAUAGGGGUGAAAGGCUAAUCAAGCCUGGUGAUAGCUGGUUCUCCCCGAAAGCUAUUUAGGUAGCGCCUCGGACGAAUACCAUAGGGGGUAGAGCACUGUUUCGGCUAGGGGGUCAUCCCGACUUACCAAACCGAUGCAAACUCCGAAUACCUAUGAGUACUAUCCGGGAGACAGACUGCGGGUGCUAACGUCCGUAGUCAAGAGGAAAACAAUCCAGACCGCCAGCUAAGGCCCCAAAAUCAUAGUUAAGUGGGAAACGAUGUGGGAAGGCAUAGACAGCUAGGAGGUUGGCUUAGAAGCAGCCACCCUUUAAAGAAAGCGUAAUAGCUCACUAGUCGAGUCGGCCUGCGCGGAAGAUGUAACGGGGCUAAAACUAUGUGCCGAAGCUGCGGAUGUAUACUUUGUAUACGUGGUAGGGGAGCGUUCUGUAAGCCGAUGAAGGUGUGUUGAGAAGCAUGCUGGAGGUAUCAGAAGUGCGAAUGCUGACGUGAGUAACGACAAAACGGGUGAAAAACCCGUUCGCCGAAAGACCAAGGGUUCCAGUCCAACGUUAAUCGGGGCUGGGUGAGUCGACCCCUAAGGCGAGGCCGAAAGGCGUAGUCGAUGGGAAAAUGGUUAAUAUUCCAUUACUUCUGUGUAAUGCGAUGAGAGGACGGAGAAGGCUAAAUCAGCCUGGCGUUGGUUGUCCAGGUGAAAGGAUGUAGGCAUGUAUCUUAGGCAAAUCCGGGGUACUCUAUGCUGAGAUCUGAUAGCAAGCUGUACUUGUACAGCGAAGUGGUUGAUGCCAUGCUUCCAGGAAAAGUCUCUAAGCUUCAGUUACACAGGAAUCGUACCCGAAACCGACACAGGUGGUCAGGUCGAGUAGACCAAGGCGCUUGAGAGAACUCUGCUGAAGGAACUAGGCAAAAUGGUACCGUAACUUCGGGAGAAGGUACGCUGUUGUUGGUGAUGGAACUCGCUUCCUGAGCUGACGACAGCCGCAGAAACCAGGCCGCUGCAACUGUUUAUUAAAAACAUAGCACUCUGCAAACACGAAAGUGGACGUAUAGGGUGUGAUGCCUGCCCGGUGCUGGAAGGUUAAUUGAUGGGGUUAGCGUAAGCGAAGCUCUUGAUCGAAGCCCCAGUAAACGGCGGCCGUAACUAUAACGGUCCUAAGGUAGCGAAAUUCCUUGUCGGGUAAGUUCCGACCUGCACGAAUGGCAUAAUGAUGGCGGCGCUGUCUCCAGCAGAGGCUCAGUGAAAUCGAAAUCGCUGUGAAGAUGCAGUGUACCCGCGGCUAGACGGAAAGACCCCGUGAACCUUUACUGCAGCUUGACACUGAACUUUGACCUUACUUGUGUAGGAUAGGUGGGAGGCUUUGAAGCUGGAACGCUAGUUCCAGUGGAGCCGUCCUUGAAAUACCACCCUGGUAAUGUUGAGGUUCUAACUCUGUCCCGUGAUCCGGGACGAGGACCGUGUCUGGUGGGUAGUUUGACUGGGGCGGUCUCCUCCUAAAGAGUAACGGAGGAGUACGAAGGUGCGCUCAGCGUGGUCGGAAAUCACGCGUAGAGUAUAAAGGCAAAAGCGCGCUUAACUGCGAGACCCACAAGUCGAGCAGGUACGAAAGUAGGUCUUAGUGAUCCGGUGGUUCUGUAUGGAAGGGCCAUCGCUCAACGGAUAAAAGGUACUCUGGGGAUAACAGGCUGAUACCGCCCAAGAGUUCAUAUCGACGGCGGUGUUUGGCACCUCGAUGUCGGCUCAUCUCAUCCUGGGGCUGAAGCAGGUCCCAAGGGUAUGGCUGUUCGCCAUUUAAAGAGGUACGCGAGCUGGGUUUAGAACGUCGUGAGACAGUUCGGUCCCUAUCUACCGUGGGCGCUGGAAAUUUGAGAGGAUCUGCUCCUAGUACGAGAGGACCAGAGUGGACGAACCUCUGGUGUACCGGUUGUGACGCCAGUCGCAUCGCCGGGUAGCUAUGUUCGGAAGGGAUAACCGCUGAAAGCAUCUAAGCGGGAAGCCUACCUCAAGAUAAGAUUUCCCUAGGACUUUAUGUCCUCUAAAGAGCCGUUCGAGACUAGGACGUUGAUAGGUUGGAUGUGGAAGCAUAGUGAUAUGUGAAGCUGACCAAUACUAAUUGCUCGUGAGGCUUGACUAUACAACACCCAAGCAGUUG
rnacentral:rRNA from 1 species